rnacentral:rRNA from 1 species
UACGUAGGGGGCAAGCGUUGUCCGGAUUUAUUGGGCGUAAAGAGCGUGUAGGCGGCCUGAAAGGUCAGCUGUGAAAACUCGAGGCUCAACCUCGAGACGUCGGUUGAAACCAUCUGGCUAGAGUCCGGAAGAGGAGAGUGGAAUUCCCGGUGUAGCGGUGAAAUGCGCAGAUAUCGGGAAGAACACCCGUGGCGAAGGCGGCUCUCUGGGACGGUACUGACGCUGAGACGCGAAAGCGUGGGGAGCGAACGAGG